GAGGUUGUGGCUCAGUGGUAGAGUGCUUGUCUAGCAUGUGAGAGGCACUGGGUUCCAUCCUCAGCACCACA
rnacentral:tRNA from 1 species